AGAGUUUGAUCCUGGCUCAGGACGAACGCUGGCGGCGCGCCUAACACAUGCAAGUCGAACGAGCGAGAGAGAGCUUGCUUUCUCGAGCGAGUGGCGAACGGGUGAGUAACGCGUGAGGAACCUGCCUCAAAGAGGGGGACAACAGUUGGAAACGACUGCUAAUACCGCAUAAGCCCACGGGUCGGCAUCGACCAGAGGGAAAAGGAGCAAUCCGCUUUGAGAUGGCCUCGCGUCCGAUUAGCUAGUUGGUGAGGUAAUGGCCCACCAAGGCGACGAUCGGUAGCCGGACUGAGAGGUUGAACGGCCACAUUGGGACUGAGACACGGCCCAGACUCCUACGGGAGGCAGCAGUGGGGAAUAUUGCACAAUGGGGGAAACCCUGAUGCAGCGACGCCGCGUGGAGGAAGAAGGUCUUCGGAUUGUAAACUCCUGUUGUUGAGGAAGAUAAUGACGGUACUCAACAAGGAAGUGACGGCUAACUACGUGCCAGCAGCCGCGGUAAAACGUAGGUCACAAGCGUUGUCCGGAAUUACUGGGUGUAAAGGGAGCGCAGGCGGGAAGACAAGUUGGAAGUGAAAUCUAUGGGCUCAACCCAUAAACUGCUUUCAAAACUGUUUUUCUUGAGUAGUGCAGAGGUAGGCGGAAUUCCCGGUGUAGCGGUGGAAUGCGUAGAUAUCGGGAGGAACACCAGUGGCGAAGGCGGCCUACUGGGCACCAACUGACGCUGAGGCUCGAAAGUGUGGGUAGCAAACAGGAUUAGAUACCCUGGUAGUCCACACCGUAAACGAUGAUUACUAGGUGUUGGAGGAUUGACCCCUUCAGUGCCGCAGUUAACACAAUAAGUAAUCCACCUGGGGAGUACGACCGCAAGGUUGAAACUCAAAGGAAUUGACGGGGGCCC
rnacentral:rRNA from 1 species